CUUUUUUCCUGUUGGUUUUUUUUUUUUUUCCAGAAAUGAAUUAAGAGCUUUAAGAUUGAAUUUGUGGAUGUGAAAAAUCAGAAAAAGAUGUAAAUGCUGUUUUCCUGAGGCCAAGGGAGCUCUGCAUCAAAGUGAAAAGCUACGUGGAGCUAAUGCCCUGGUCCCUGACAGCCAGCAGAACCAGCUCUGGGGUUUG
rnacentral:lncRNA from 1 species